AAUAUUGCGCAAUGGGGGAAACCCUGACGCAGCAACGCCGCGUGAGUGAUGAAGGCCUUCGGGUCGUAAAGCUCUGUCUUCGCUGACGAUAAUGACGGUAAGCGAGGAGGAAGCCACGGCUAACUACGUGCCAGCAGCCGCGGUAAUACGUAGGUGGCGAGCGUUGUCCGGAAUUACUGGGCGUAAAGGGUGCGUAGGCGGAAGCUUAAGUCAGAUGUGAAAUACCUGGGCUCAACUUAGGGAUUGCAUUUGAAACUGGGUUUCUAGAGUGCAGGAGAGGAAAGCGGAAUUCCUAGUGUAGCGGUGAAAUGCGUAGAUAUUAGGAAGAACACCAGUGGCGAAGGCGGCUUUCUGGACUGUAACUGACGCUGAGGCACGAAAGCGUGGGGAGCAAACAGG
rnacentral:rRNA from 1 species